UGAGGAUUGAAACUUCUCUUCCUGUUAAUGCUUUUAGAAAUCAGACUCCCUGUAUCGAUGCCUUCAACCUCCAACUGUAUGUAUCGAUCCAAGAGAUAAAAUCGAGCUUGUAUCGACGCCUUCAACCUUCUCGGUGGUUCAUUAUCGAUUCAAGGUAACAGUUGCAGUUUACCAGCUCUUUUUCCCAUGGCUACCCAAUCGAUAACCUAGCAAUUGAUAAUCUCAAGUAGGUAACACUAACUUUUACUCUUUUGUAUGAAUAUUCUUUUUCAUUUUCUUGUAUUCGUUAUAUGAUGUUGAUCAAUGUGGGUUCUUCUCUUGGUAGUUUAUUCCUUUCCAAUUAAAGAAUGAUCUCAUUUUGACAUAAAGUUCAUAAAGUCUUGAGUCGGCAUUUGGUAGAGUGUUGAAGUCUAAGGAUGGAUGGCAUCACCUGACAUGAUGGUCUACUGACACUCAAUUGUACUUUUAGCUUUGUUUAACAUCUUCUUUUAUAAGAUUAUGUUUUUAGUGUGUAUAUGACAAGCAUCAAAGCAUAAGGAAAUAUGUUUUUUUCAACUCAUUUUCACACUAUGCACAAGAUGAAGCCGUCUAUUUUACAUUUUCGUU